AUUGAACGCUGGCGGCAGGCCUAACACAUGCAAGUCGAGCGAGCGGCGGACGGGUGAGUAAUGUCUGGGAAACUGCCUGAUGGAGGGGGAUAACUACUGGAAACGGUAGCUAAUACCGCAUACCAUCAGAUGUGCCCAGAUGGGGUGAGCUAGUAGGGGGGGUAACGGCUCACCUAGGCGACGAUCCCUAGAUGGUCGGAGAGGAGUACCAGCAACAUGGGAAUGGAGACACGGUCCAGACUCCUACGGGAGGCAGCAGUUGGGAAGAUUGCACAAGGGGCGCAAGCCUGAUGCAGCCAUGCCGCGUGUGUGAAGAAGGCCUUCGGGUUGUAAAGCACUUUCAGCGGGGAGGCGUUACCCGCAGAAGAAGCACCGGCUAACUCCGUGCCAGCAGCCGCGGUAAUAC
rnacentral:rRNA from 1 species